rnacentral:rRNA from 1 species
GAAUAAACAAGGCCAAAAAUCAAGUAAGUAACAAAGUAGACAAUUAACGUCCUUCCAGUUUUACCUACUAGGACUAAAACUCUUUCGAAAACAUACUCAAGAUACACAGAGUAUUUCACUUAACGACUUUUGCCUCCUAAUGUUUACAACCUCGAACGUUACACCUUUCGCUGGUACCGAUCGUCGUCGGCGUAGGGUCGGUACUCGGUAGUGGAACCCGCUCUAGACACAACGGGUCGCACGCCUGACCGAUCGCCGCCACGACCGGUAACCGUGCCGUUUGGGCGGGGUGACGCACGGCGUCCCGUAGCCGUACGCAAAGAAGGUGUGUGGCUACUUGACGAGCGGUGCGUGGGCCUGAACAGGGAGCUGCGGUGGAGCCGACGCCACUUACGUUAGCGGCUCACCCCGACAUGCCGCCCGCUGUAGUGGGUAGAGCAGCAGUAGUGGUUGCGCCCUAGCGUACGGGACCCGUGGCUGCAGGCGAACCAGAACGGGAGGACCAGAACGGGAGGCGGAGCCGCAGGACGCGUUGACUACCAAAUAAAAACUGAUCAUGAACUACCAAAUAAAAACUGACAUCAUGGACUACCAAAUAUCACAUCAAUAAAGAACUAAAACGAGACAUUACGGGUCACCUUAAUGUGACAUACGAUUAACCAAAAUGUAUCAUUUAGAAUCGCCAAAAUGUAUCAUUAAAUGUGUCAUCAAAUGUGACAUUAAAAUCAUUUAAGAAUGACCUAAAAUGACAUAAACAUUCCCCCCAAAAGUCACGUAAAAAACAGUAAAAUCACUAAAGACGUCACGAUUAGAAUCACCGUAAACGUCACAUUUAAAUG